CAGCAAGUGAAUUAAACAGGCAGUUUGGGUCAAAGCAUCACUCUCUGAAGAUCUAAUAUCUGGAUGAGAGAGACAGCAAGUGUGAUUGUCGUCACCCGGCUACUGAGAGUGCCUCAAAUCUGUGACACUGAGCUCCUGACCAACCUUCAGCCAUGAAGAUCCUUUAUCUGCUCUUUGCUGUCUUCUUUCUGGUGCACCAGGGUGCAACAGAAUUCUCCCAGGCUCAGAAUUUCAACAGGAGAUGUAUACUCCGGGGGGGUACCUGUUUCUAUCUGAGAUGCCCCCCUUUUCUAAGGACACGCAUUGGAAGAUGCUUCAGCGGUGGUGUUUGUUGUGCAAGGGGACUGUGAUUCUGAUUGUCUAGGCAGGAUAUCUGGGAAUCUGGGAGACAGCCACGUGCUUCUAAAAUCACUGGAUCCUACUUCAAGGGAACUCUGAAGUACUGUUUGUUUAGGCUCUAAAGAACCUUAUGAGCUGGAAAAAUUCCAGAAGGGAGCCCUUGUAUCCCCCAUAUAAGAUUUGUUACUUUCCUUUUAAUAAAAGCAAGUUGGUUUGAGAUAA